GUGCAACAACAACCUGGUAAGAAAUUAAUUUUAUACGUUUUUCAAUAAUCUUUUUUUUAUAAAAAACCUAUUUUCAUUUGUUGUGCUGUUGAUAUCAAAUUGUUUUUCUAAUACUUAAUUAUUACUUUUUAUCUCUUUUUAUAUUUUAACUAGAAACACAACAAUUACAAUAUGGUAAGAAAAAACCUUUUGGUUUAUUGAAUGUAAAUCUUUUUUUUAAAAGUUCUUAAUAAUUUGCUUUUUCUUUUUCUUUACUAUAGUAUUUUUUUUUAGUUCUGUAUUAAUUUUUUUAGGACAACAAUAACAACCACAAUCAGAAUCAAUAGCUCAUGUUAUUUUAGUGCAAUCUAUGGAAGAAAUGUUUAAUAAUUUUUUAAGGAAGAUGAAGAAGCAAUCCUGUAUGAAACUACCUUUUACUUUAGAAAUUUAUAACUUGGUUCUUUCCAAAAAAUAAUUGAUUAUAUGCAUACAUAUGGUGGUGGUAUACACAUCACCAUAUUACGUAAACAUAUUGUUUUAUUUAAACAUAUAAAAGAAUUUAGCUUCUUUUUUUAUUGUAAAGUUUCUUAUGUAUUAUGAAAUCAUAGAUCAAUCAUUUUUUGAUUAUAUAUAGCCCGAACACCAUUUUUUUCUUUUUGUUAGGGGAG